rnacentral:ncRNA from 1 species
UUAACUGGGGUGGUACACCUGUCAAAGUGUAACGCAGGUGUCCUAAAGUGAGCUCAGGCAGGACGGAAACCUCCUGCAGAGCAGAAGGGCAAAAGCUCGCUUGAUCUUGUGACCAGGUGACCCGCCUGGUGGAUGAGGGAAAGGCUGUGGACAUGGUCUACCUGGACUUACUAGUAAGGCCUUUGACACCAUCUCCCACG